rnacentral:lncRNA from 1 species
UAAAUUAACAUCAUCUUCUAUACCCAAAUCUAUCAAAUUACAGGGCUGAUCAGUUCCGCUCUGUGAAAUAAUCAUAUUCUCCAUACUUUCCCCCCUUCCAAAAUUUGGAGCUGGGAUUUUUCUAUUCCUAAGAUCCAUGUUUAAAAAAAAACAAUGUACUUAUAUUCCCAAAAAUAUAGAAGCUAAAUGCACCUCUAUUUUCUCUUAAAUAAUUGCUAGGAAGCUAAAUGCACCUCCUUAAAUAUUUUUUUUUUCUUUAUAGGAAGCUAAAUGCACCUCCUUAAUAUAUUUUUUUUUUUUCUUUAUAGGAAGCUAAAUGCACCUCCUUAAAAAUAUUUUUUUUUUUUCUAAGGAAGCUAAAUGCACCUCCUUAAUAUUUUAAAAAAAAUUAGGAGCUAAAUGCACUCCUGUAUUUUCCAAAAUAAUCCAUUUAACACAGAAUAAUGUAUAGAGCUAAAUGCACUCCAUACACAAUAUAUGUCACUUAGUGUGUUCCAUACAAAUUAAUAUUUCUAAAAAUAGACGUGCCAAAUUCCUUGAAACGUGAGAACUAAACCGCUGCCACCAUUGUCGUAAUUUCUGCUUCUUGCUAUGUUUUGAUAUAGUUAUAAAGCCAGCAAAUACGAAUAUCUCAUAAAACUAGUAAAUGCACGGGGUAAUAAAUAAAUACGGACGUCAAAUCUGUUGUCUGUUCUCUCUCAUCAUUGA